GACGAACGCUGGCGGCGUGCUUAACACAUGCAAGUCGAACGGAAAGGCCCUGCUUUUGUGGGGUGCUCGAGUGGCGAACGGGUGAGUAACACGUGAGUAACCUGCCCUUGACUUUGGGAUAACUUCAGGAAACUGGGGCUAAUACCGGAUAGGAGCUCCUGCUGCAUGGUGGGGGUUGGAAAGUUUCGGCGGUUGGGGAUGGACUCGCGGCUUAUCAGCUUGUUGGUGGGGUAGUGGCUUACCAAGGCUUUGACGGGUAGCCGGCCUGAGAGGGUGACCGGCGGCAGUGGGACUGAGAGACGGCCCAGACGGAGACGGGAGGCAGAAGGGGGGAAGAUGGCAGAAGGGGCGGGGGUAUGAAGCAGCAACGGCGCGUGAGGGAGGACGGGCGUCGGGUUGUAAACCGAUUUCGCCGGUGACGGAGCGUGAGUGACGGUAAGGGGUAAAGAAGCAACGGCUAACGACGUG
rnacentral:rRNA from 1 species